GUCACUAUGUCCGAGUGGUUAAGGAGUAUGACUAGAAAUCAUAUGGGCUCCGCCCGCACAGGUUCAAAUCCUGUUGGUGACG
rnacentral:tRNA from 3 species